GAGCACUGUUCAUGACCCAUCAACCUGCCAUGGCUGACGGGUUCCAUUCUAAUGCCAUAGCAGUUCAAGUGACACAUGACUAAGUGCCUAGCCUGUGGCUCUCAGUUUCAGAUCUUGGAGACAAGC